UGUUUCGUCCGUCUACCUCUACAACUGGUUAGAGGUCUGUUCGAGGUCUUUCCCCGAGGUAAAUCAUCCUCUUGUUUCCCCUGGGACCGUCCCUUCCGUUUCGCUUUUAUCUACAUAUUCGUAUUGUAUGAAAACCAAUCAGGUUCUGCAGUUUACCAAAUAAUAAUCAUUUGCAUGCCUCAAUGAUCAUUCAUUCCCGUUUACGGGAGUGUAUAAAAUAUUAGUUCCUACCGAUAUUGCCAUUCGACCAUGUAUUUUUGAGAAGGUAUAAACAAAGAGGACAACUCCAACAGACAAGUUUCUUCUUCACAGGUAGGCAUUUGAUUCUCUUGUUUUUGUGAGGGUGGAUUGGCUACAGCACAAACUUUUUAGUAUAGUUUGCAACAGUCACUGCAUGUACUUCGAAAAAAUAUAGUCAGCCAUACAACCACUCCUAUACUUGACAAAAACUGAUGUAGUUUACUGCUGAUCGACUAUCGCUACUGUCUCAUAAAUGUACCCAACUAUUCGCUACCUCGCUGCAAUCCUGCAACCACAUUAGCAAUUUACAUUGAUUACAUUUACAUCUCUGCUCGUAUACGGUUAACAUGGCGCAUCGAGUAGUCAAUUUCUAACAGUGACAUGGGCAAUAUGAAGGUAGUCUGUCAGAUAUUUCAACCAGUGUAUGUCAACCACUGUCUCUGGCAUCAACGCGGCAUUUAGGUAGAUAAUUAUUUAUUUGAGAUAAACAAACUUGUGCACGCAGAUCGCCGCCUUCAACCGUGAAGGAUGCGUGGGCCGUCUUUGUGUAUAAGCACAACCUUACACGAGCUAUCGGGAAACUUAGCUGGCUAAUCGCUGGCUGUAAACUAAUCGUACACUUCCAGUGUUAAAACAAGAUUGCGAGACUGACCACUAGCAAUAUUAGAAAGCCGUAUCGAACGCUUAAAAACGCGUGUAAUGUUCGUCUGCAUGCGCAUGAGCUUGCUAUCAAGUGAUUUAUUUUUGUAGCUCAUUAUGUAUCCAGAUUCGCAUGCGGGUUACGUGAUUGUAAUUCUCAUAUUGUCAUAUACCUCAGGCGGGCAACUUUUUGACAAAAUACAUUUACACAUUUUUACGUUUACUUGAAACAAAAAAAUAACGCUAAUUUCUGAAAAAUUAAAGCGGAUAUAAAAAACUUUAGAUAUAUUUUGUAAAUUUAUGAACACUUUUUAGAGUUGAAAAAAGUUUAGAAGUACUUAAUUAAAUUUCUUCAAUAGAAAGUGGGUUUCUAUCGACAUUUUUCUGUAGAUAGAUGGGACGCAAAUUGCUCGACAAACGUCAUCGGAAACACCAUUGUGGUUUUCGUUACGCAUUCUUGCCGCACGCGUACGUCAGUCUUCAAGUGUCCACUAUUACAACGUCAAG